rnacentral:lncRNA from 1 species
CCUGCCACGAUCUUUUCUUAAAAAGAUAAAGAGUAAAGCAUUGAAGAGAGAAAGAGAGAGAAUUGGAGAGACUAGAGAGUAAUAUUUUAUUAAAGAACUCUUACAAUUUUUUGUUUGGUGAUUUGACCAAUAAGAUUUUCUCCUUUCAUUAACUCUACGAUGUACAAUGAAUGGCCAGAAAGCGUGCGGUGACAUACUCGGGAUCCUUCCGGCUCCUACAUAAUAACGGCCUAGACAGCAUCCAUCCUUCUGGCUA